rnacentral:rRNA from 1 species
UUUAAUAAUUUUAUCAGAGCUUGGAAGCUAAAUGAGUUUGGGCCUGCUUAGUCGUACUUGCAUGGGACACCACCUAGGAAUAUCAGAUAUGAUUGGCU